ensembl:lncRNA
GGUGCACCUUGAGAAGACACCUUCCUGAGUGUACCUAGAAACUGCACUGAAGCCAUGAAAUUGAUGAGUAGCAGCAACGCCAAGUCUUGACUACAAACGAAGAGGAUAUGACAGAGAUUUCUGUUAUUGCAGAGGUGCUUAGGUGACAAGCCUUAUGGAACAAGUACAUCUGAGGGACGUUUAGGGCAGGCAAAACAAUUCUACCAACCAAUAAACUUGGAUGACAAUAACUCAUGUUAAAGCCUGUCAGCAUCCAAAAAUACAACACCGUCUGAAAAAUGAAUCUAUCCGCCUCAUUCUUGUCUUCCUCCUCUUUAAAUGUAUGAGCACUGCCUCUCUUCUGAAAGGCAGAAAAACAGUUCUUAGAAGAGCAGAUCAUUCAGUAGGACACAGGCUGCCUUCUCACCUAUUGCAAUAUUCAGUUGCUUUUGGUGUAGUUUUAUUUCCCUGAUAAUAAGCAUGGAGCAAAUCCUUUCUCUGCACCACCACCCUACCAUUCGCAGCCCAGAUGAAGCAGCGAGUCCCCGCAGAAGCAGAGACUGCCCAAUAUAGGAGGCAAACUGAAAACAUCUCUAUUAGCGAGCAGCCAUACACCUUAAAAUCUACCCAUUUUUUCCUACCUCUUCGCAUCAUUCAUGACUCCAGGAUCCCCCUGUGUGAGACAACCAGCCCUGCAGCACAGCAGCUUUCUGACUAACCUCCACAUCAGCAUCAGGAGUUCAUAAUACUGCUCAGAAUUGUCCUGGGUCUUUCCACACUACUACUCCCCUCUUGCAGAGCAUCACACAAGCACCAGGGCACACUUCUCCUUACCUCUUUCCACCAGCAGUACUGCAACACCAGGAUAGCUCCAAUUAUGCAGUCCUGAAGACCAAAUCUGGAUUUGAAGACCUUCCCUUUCCAUAUUGCAACAGCCUUCUCAUGCUACCCUAUGGCCUGACCCCCUCAGACAGAAAGCUAUGAGGCAUUUGUACUCUCUUCUGAGCUCGCAAGAUCUGGGGAGUCAGGGCCAUGUUUCUGUUCAAGCUCAGAGGAAGCACUGCCCAUGCUCAUGAGUAGUGACCAGUGGAUGCCUGUAGUGGGUGAGCAGAGAUGAAAGAUUUAACACACGUGCAAAUCAGAAAAGUCAGGUGAUAUCAUUUUUAAGAAGGCAUGAGGGCCAGGGACAAAGAUGUAUUUUGAUCAGGCACCUCCAAGCACUGCCUCCGGCUCUUCCCAAAUUCAAUUAACACACCAUUAUUAUGCAGGGUUUUUUUUCACAUGGAAAUCCAUAUUCACCACAUCCCACAGGGACCAGAGCAGUGAUCUCUACCAGUCAGCUUUAUAGUGCCAAGAUGGACACACUCUACCCCUCUCCUCCUAAGGCUUUCCACCUUUUCCCCUACCAGGGCCCUUUUAUUUUCUCAUCCUGAGCACCAGCUUCUGGGUGUAACCCAUGAUAUCUUUCACCUGAAGCAGAUCUCCAGAGGAGGGGUUAAGAGGAAUCAUGUUACCCAGGAAAAUCUCUCCUUUGUUUCCUGAAAUCUAAUAUGUGAAAAAAAAGAUUGAAUGUGGAGAUGCAAUUGAAAAUAGAAAGCUUUUUCUUUGAAACAAUUUCUCCUAAACUGACUACGAAAAGAAUGUUUUCUACAACUAAUAAAGUAUACGUGCUUUAUAUACACUUUACAGUGCAUAUAUAAACAAGAAAUAAUUCAGACAAAAUUAUAUACAAGAUAUUUUAUCAUCUGCAAAUUAUCAUUUCUAAGGCAGCUGUUAAUUGCUGAUCUUCAGCAUAUAUCUAAGAUCAUUUCUGUUCCUUAACAUAAUAUUUCAUUAGUGUGUUAAGAUAAUAUCUAUGGGGAUGUUGUAUUCAUUUCUUGAAAGAUGUGUCCCUAGAAAUGUGUAUUUCUCUCAUUGUUCCAGUAUGACUAUGUACCACUUUUUUUCUCCUUAUUUUAUGUAGAGUCUUGUUUACAGAGUAAUAAUAUAUUAAUUCUAAUU